AACUGAUUUUCCGUCGUGUACGUCGCCUCAUUGCCGCAAUAGCACAGAAAAUCAUUGAUAUACGAAACGCACGAUUAUGCGAAUACACUCGUUUAAUCGUCAAAAUACGACCGAACGCCCGUAACCAAAAACCAAAUGUUGGUGGUUAUCAUCCGGAAUUAUUAUUCUCGUAAUACCGGAAUCACAACGUUAACUCACCAAUAGGCGAAAUCGCAAUAAAACAAUAUCAACACGCGCAAAUCGCGAUCAUAACGUUUUAUAAUACAUUUUUCUGACAUCAGUCAUGUGCUAGUCAAGGCACCUAUACGCUUUAAAUUACGAGAAAUAUAUGAUCCUAAAUACGAUAAUACGCUCGUAUUUGGAUUUUUGUUUUCUAUAAACCGUGAACCCUGCAAUUUGAAAUUGCAAUUAUUAUAAUUUUAUUUUUAUUUUAUACGAUUUUCAUUUAAGCAGCCAGAGCAAACCGGGUUUUUCGACUACAAUUUAAUGUCAGCUGGAAUACUGAGAUCCCAACAAUCUUAAUGUAAAGAAAACGUAACAAGAAAUGGUUUACAGUAGUUAUAUGCUCCCAGCACUGGUUAGAAAAUGCAGCACAGCAAGCAGAGAAAAAUCUUACCGAAGGACAAAAGAAAAAAAGAACAAGCACAAAUUGAAAUCUAAAUCACACAAAAAGUCUGCUUUAGUUACUUCAAGUAAACAUUUAGUUCAAUAUUCAGAUGUUAGUUCUGAAGAACUUAGUAGUCCAGAGGCAGGUGAAAUACAUAGUGAUUUUGAUGAGAAACAUGGGGUCAUACGUUUAAAACCUCCUCCUCCUCCUCCUCCUACCAGAAUAAUAACUAAUAAUUUUCGAAUUACUACAGUCACCUCACCUAGAAAUCUAUUAGCAGCCUGUUCCCCUAUAAGUAAUCAUUGGGAACUAGAUCCGGUAUUAGAAAAAUCUUCAAUGUCUACUACUUUCAAUUUAAAUAAUUGUGUAGAUAUGACAUCAGAAGUCUCACGUUUAAAGUACAAAAAAGCUAAAAAAACCAACAAAAAACCUAAAAGCCCUAGCUCAAAAAAGAAAAAAAAGAAGAAGGAUUUAAAACAUAAAUCUGAUGUAUUACCAGACUGUGAUAAUAGUUUUGUGAAGUUUUCCAAAUGUUCUAAUUCGGAAUCUUCCAAACGAAAUGGUGAUUUUAAUGAACCUGUUAAGAAGCAUAAACCUAUCGAGGUUUCACACACUCCACCAUUAACAAAAUCAGCUCAUAUCAAAAUUUCCAAAGUUGAGGUGACGCAUAAAGAAGAAGAAAAACACAUCAAACAUCAUAGAAAAGAAAAUAAAAGUUGGAUGAAGAGCCCACCAUUAUUAAAUAUAGCAAUAAGGAAAGAAUACAGUCGUACUCCUGAACCUGCAGAUGGUAGAUAUAAUUAUCGAUCUCGAAGUAUUUCAAAACAAAAUAACCGGGACCAUAAAAGACGUAUGGAUGAGUUUGAAAGAUAUGAAACUAAUGAAUUCAAAUCUAGUAGGACUCGCGACAAACACGAAAGUAAACAUGAGAGCAAACAUGAAAAUAAACAUGAGAGUAAACACGAAAGGAGUAGAAUACGAAAAACUAAAUCUGAUAAAGAUAGAUCACCAGUACAUAGUCACAGAUUAUCCCGAAGUCCGAUUCGAGAUCGUCGACACCAUGAACACACGAGAAGUUCUAAAGCGAGGUAUUCACGAUCACGUACCCAUUCCCGUUCCUAUUCUCGUUCCCGUUCACCACAUUCCCCUCAUCAACAGAGACAUGAUCAUCAUCAUGCACACCACUCACCAAAACAUAGUCAAAAAUCUCCUCAGCGUACAACUUCAAAAUCAUCAAAGCACAUAUCUCACGUUUCCAGAGCAGUUUCACCUCACAAUUCUCGAUCUUCAAAAAAAUCAAGUCAUGUUCGACCAAUAUAUUCACGUUCUCCAUCUAAAAAUAUUCGUACUCAAAGCAAAUCGCCUUCUCCAGUAAAGGAUUUAAAAACUACUAAAAAGCAUUCUGAUAGUGAUUCACCUGGAUGUUAUUCUUCAGUCUCCAAGAAAAAAAAAUCUACUAAAAGUCCAGCUAAACAAUAUAAUUCCAAAGUAAAACUUAGUGAAACAAGUCUCUUUGCUGAGUUGGUAAAAGAUCGGCAGAUGCGUGAAUUAGCCAUGAAGUGUUUGACGCAAAUUAGUACUAAGACUUUAGAUGAAAAUGAAGUAGUUGAAAUACAUGAUGAUUCAGAUAAUGAACAAAAUAGUUCUAAAGCUGUUGAUUUAAAUACAAAAUUACACAAAAUUAAUGUAAACGAUGACGUUGAUUCUUGUGUAAUAGUAGAAAUGUCAGAAAACAGUCAAAUCUCUAAACCUAAAGUUGAAAUGUCUAAUACACAAUUAGUUAAUUCACCAGCUAUAGAAAUACCUCCAAAAAUUCAAGCAGUUCCUUUAAAAAAUCAAAGUCCAUCUCUAAUAAAAUUAGAGAUCAUAGAAAAUGGAAUUGAACAUCCUUUAGAACCUAAAGUAUCAUUAACUCCAAAAAUAACACCACCUGAGAAAAAAUUAGAAGUAAUAGAAAAUAAAGAUUUAUCAAAAAUGCCAUUGCCACCGGUUUUUCCAAUACUUGACGAAACAUCUCCAGAUUCAGAAUUUAAGAGUUCAAAAAAAAGCAUUAAAGAUUUACCUUUACCACCAGGACUUAUUCAAAAUGCCGAUAAGAUAGAUGAUGAUAAAAAUCUUUCUUUGUCAGAAAUCGUAUCAAAUCCUUUACCUGAUUGUCAACAAAACGCAAUUAAAAGAUCAAUUAUGUUGGGCUUAGGAUCAGGGUUUCCACAAAGUUUUUCAUUCACUUCAAAUAUGGAAAGGCCCUCUCGUCCAUUAGAUCCAAAUAUUAAGAUUAAACGACCCAAAGUACUAUAUCGAAGACGGAGCACAAAAUCUGCUGCAGCUAAUAACCCUAUUGAUUGGGGAGAGCAGUGUGUUGAUAUGUUUGAAGUGAUAAAUCAAAUAGGUGAAGGAACGUAUGGUCAAGUUUACAAAGCAAAAGAUAAAACUUCAGGUACAUUUGUAGCAUUAAAAAAAGUUCGACUUGAAAAUGAAAAAGAAGGAUUUCCCAUAACUGCUGUUCGAGAAAUAAAAAUUUUACGGCAAUUAAACCAUAAAAAUAUUGUAAAUUUAAGAGAAAUUGUAACUGAUAAACAAGAUGCCCUUGAUUUUAAAAAAGAUAGAGGAUCAUUUUAUUUAGUAUUUGAAUACAUGGACCAUGAUCUUAUGGGUUUAUUAGAAUCUGGAAUGGUUGACUUUAAUGAAACACAUAAUGCAAGUAUUAUGCGACAAUUGUUGGAAGGUUUAAAUUAUUGUCAUCGUCGAAAUUUUCUUCAUAGAGAUAUCAAAUGCAGCAACAUCUUAAUGAAUAACAAAGGUGAAGUAAAGUUAGCUGAUUUUGGUCUAGCUAGGUUAUAUAAUGCUCAAGAUAGACAACGACCAUACACUAAUAAAGUAAUAACACUCUGGUAUAGACCUCCUGAACUAUUACUUGGCGAAGAGAGGUACGGAACUUCAAUAGAUGUUUGGUCAUGUGGAUGUAUUUUGGGAGAAUUAUUUUUAAAAAAGCCUUUAUUUCAGGCCAAUGAAGAAAUGAUGCAAUUAGAAACUAUAUCUCGUUUAUGUGGUAGUCCAACACCUGCUGUAUGGCCUACUGUGAUUAACUUGCCUUUCUGGCAUUCAUUAAAAGCUAAAAAAGUACAUCGACGUCGUUUACGUGAAGAAUUUACUUUUAUGAAUGAUAGUGCCUUGGAUCUUUUAGAUCAUAUGUUAGAACUAGAUCCCAGCAAACGAAUUACUGCUGAUAGAGCUCUAAAAUGCAAUUGGUUAAAAAAUGUCCAACCUGAUAAAAUGGACGUGACAGCACUACCAACAUGGCAAGAUUGUCACGAGUUAUGGAGCAAAAAAAGAAAAAGAGAUCAAAGAGUACGAGAAAACCAGUCCAAAACUAACGAAUCUAGUGAACCAGCUGGAGGAAUUCCUGCUGAUCUACCGAAUAAUAAUAAUGAAAAUAAUUUAGCUGAUAGUUUUAAAUCGACCAUUGAAAAUAAUACUAAUGAAGCAGAAAGUGAUAUAAUAGCAGCACUUGCCAAUAACAAUUCAAUAAAAUCUGAUAUUGACUCUGAAAAUCCUAAUAACAAUGUGGAAAUAGAUGAGGUACAUACACAUUGAUACAGUAUUCAGAUAAUGUUUUAUAGUUGAUUAGAUAAAAUAAUUAGCUUAAUGAUGUUAUCUAUAGCAAUUGGUGACUAGUACAACUGUUGACGUAAUUGAUGAUGUAAAUCUAACUCCACCUAUCAACGAUUUUAAUCCAUGCUUAAACACUUUCCUUCCAAAAACUGGCGGAUUCUAGGUCUAUAUAUUUUUUUUAUUUUAUUAAUUGU